UACGGAGGAUCCGAGCGUUAUCCGGAUUUAUUGGGUUUAAAGGGUGCGCAGGUUGUUUGAUAAGCCAGUGGUGAAAGUCUGUCGCUUAACGGUAGGAUUGCCAUUGAUACUGUUGGACUUGAAUAUGGAUGAGGUAGGCGGAAUGUGUAGUGUAGCGGUGAAAUGCAUAGAUAUUACACAGAACACCGAUUGCGAAGGCAGCUUACUAAUCCAUCAUUGACGCUGAGGCACGAAAGCGUGGGGAUCAAACAGGA
rnacentral:rRNA from 1 species